rnacentral:rRNA from 1 species
UCGGGAAUUUUGGGCAAUGGGCGAAAGCCUGACCCAGCAACGCCGCGUGAAGGAUGAAGUAUUUCGGUAUGUAAACUUCGAAAGAAUAGGAAGAAUAAAUGACGGUACUAUUUAUAAGGUCCGGCUAACUACGUGCCAGCAGCCGCGGUAAUACGUAGGGACCAAGCGUUGUUCGGAUUUACUGGGCGUAAAGGGCGCGUAGGCGGCUUGACAAGUCACUUGUGAAAUCUCUGGGCUUAACCCAGAACGGCCAAGUGAAACUGUCAUGCUAGAGUGCAGAAGGGGCAAUCGGAAUUCUUGGUGUAGCGGUGAAAUGCGUAGAUAUCAAGAGGAACACCUGAGGUGAAGACGGGUUGCUGGGCUGACACUGACGCUGAGGCGCGAAAGCCAGGGGAGCAAACGGGAUUAGAUACCCAUGUAGUCCCUGAGCGGGCUGGCAAGGCGCAU